GAGGCAGCCAGACUUGGAACAUUCAAGAACACAGACGUAGGAACUGCAUAAAAAGGAGGAGCUCUCCCACCCUCGUCGGAGUGAACCGCUUGCCGUCUGACAGCAAACCUUUUGGGAAACAGCCAGCCUUGUCACCGUGCUUGAAGGCUUUUCAGGGUAACGGAUGUGAUGGUUGCAAGGGGGUUGAGCGAAAUGCCUGGCAGGUGCCCACUUCAUGGCUCUACUUACUUCUUGCCAUUCCUCUGCCCUCCAGGCAUAGAGAGGACACGGUGCGGCUUGGCAGGCGCGUUCCGACUCCGGUCUGGUGUAGGGGUUGCACUCAGUCUCUCUGGCUGUUUUGUGUGUUCCCGUCUGACAGCUCACACUUCUCCGCCGUGUGCCUUGGCCGCAGGACACAGAGCACUAAGAAGAAAGACUGUGUAAGUGGGAGCUUUGGGUCAUUUGGUGGGGAGGGUGUGUGUGUGUGUGUGUGUGUGUGUGUGGCAGGAGUGGCGAGGGUCACAGUCAUGGGGAAUGCGCUCCUAAUCCAAUGACUUUCCCUGCGAUUACAAAGCUUUCUAAUUUCCAAUGAAGGGGACCCAAGAUAAUGUACUUAAAUCUGCAAACUCACUGCCUGUCGAUGCCGGUGAGCGAGCAAAGUAUCUCUACCUUUCUUGGGGAAUCUCUAAAGAUACCAAAAGUCUUGGAGAUGGGAGAGGUUGGGAGAGAUCGUUAUGAAAUGAUACGAUCGAGAAAUAAAUAGUGCUGCCAUGUGAAAUGAAAAUCCCCAAUGAUUACUAUCCCGGAGGAUUGCAGUUUCUUGAAAAUUGGAGAUAAGUGCUGUACAAGAAGAAUUUCUUGGCAGAUUAAAAGCAUAACCCAACGAGAGUAAAUUACUGAAGCUUUUAGGGCCUUAUAAGCAGAAUUAUUUUCUCCAGUCUCUUUCUUUCCUUGCUCUUAUUCCUGGAGGUAGAGGAAAGAAGAAUUUUUUUUAAACUACUGAAUUCACUAAAGUGUUAGUGUCUAUUUACAACCUCAAAUGAAUACACAAAGAAUAAAAACUGACAAGGAAAAACCAUUUCUUCAGGCGGGCGUCAUGUUUCCAGCCCCUGAAAAAUACUGUGAAUCAGGCUGAAGCAUUUUGUUGACCAAGUUGCAAAACACCAUAUUAAAUCUGCAAUUAGCUUUCCUUUAAAUUAACUUUUUAAUGGUUUCCUCACUGCUGGGUUUCAUAAUCUCACUUAUGGGCAGGCCAAGAAUUAUUGUCUUUAUUAAGGUUUUGACAGUUAAAAACCAAAGGCAACGUUUGCUUGGAAAGAACAGCAUAUUACUGCGUUUAUUUAAAAUCGUUCCUGAGUUUUUGCGAAAGCUCAGCCUCCGCUAAUUUGUCUGGCAUUGAGAAAACAAGUUUAGCAUACAUUAAAGCCGUAUUUCUAAGAGGAAGUCUUAAAGAAUAGAAUCAUGAUCCUUUCAAUUAGAAAGGUAUCCGUGCCCAAUCAUUUCAUAUUUUAAGAAAAUAGUUGGUGCUCUUCAGAGGGCAGCUCGGGAAAUCAUAUCAUUUCAGAUGAGUCUAUGCCAGGGAGGGGCUCAAAUGUUCACAUCAAAGCUAGCUAAAGAGAAGGAAAUAUUUUGAGGCAACACAGCUGCUAUUGUUUGGGUUUAAUUGUAUUAAUUGGAUUGAAUGAGUCUGUGACCCAGAAGGAGCCAGACUUUUAAAGUCAUUGUGUCCUGGGUGGAAUAAGAGGGCCCCUGAAGACAAGUAAUGCUCUUGUCUACAGAGAAUGACCCUUUAAGGCUCACGGGAGCUACACGUAUGUUUCCCAUUGAUUACCCUGGAAAUGAAGGAACUGUAACUUGGGAGUGUCAUCCCAUGAAUGACAGAAAUGUUCCAACGGCGUCAUCAUUGACAACAAACAAUGACGA
rnacentral:lncRNA from 1 species